rnacentral:tRNA from 2 species
GCGCCUGUAGCUCAACUGGAUAGAGCAACGGCCUUCUAAGCCGUAGGUCAUGGGUUCGAGUCCCUUCAGGCGCACCA